GCGAACAGGAUUAGAUACCCUGGUAGUCCACGCCGUAAACGGUGGGCACUAGUUGUGGGGACCUUCCACGGUCUCUGCGACGCAGCUAACGCAUUAAGUGCCCCGCCUGGGGAGUACGAUCGCAAGAUUAAAACUCAAAGGAAUUGACGGGGCCCCGCACAAGCAGCGGAGCAUGCGGCUUAAUUCGACGCAACGCGAAGAACCUUACCAAGGCUUGACAUAUACAGGAAUAUGGCAGAGAUGUCAUAGCCGCAAGGUCUGUAUACAGGUGGUGCAUGGUUGUCGUCAGCUCGUGUCGUGAGAUGUUGGGUUAAGUCCCGCAACGAGCGCAACCCUCGUUCUGUGUUGCCAGCAUUAAGUUGGGGACUCACAGGAGACUGCCGGGGUUAACUCGGAGGAAGGUGGGGAUGACGUCAAAUCAUCAUGCCCCUUAUGUCUUGGGCUGCACGCAUGCUACAAUGGCUGGUACAAACGGCUGCGAUACCGCAAGGUGGAGCGAAUCCGAUAAAGCCAGUCUCAGUUCGGAUUGGGGUCUGCAACUCGACCCCAUGAAGUCGGAGUUGCUAGUAAUCGUAGAUCAGCAACGCUACGGUGAAUACGUUCCCGGGGCUUGUACACACCGCCCGUCACGUCACGA
rnacentral:rRNA from 1 species